UACGAAGGGGGCUAGCGUUGUUCGGAAUUACUGGGCGUAAAGCGCACGUAGGCGGACUAUUAAGUCAGGGGUGAAAUCCCGGGGCUCAACCCCGGAACUGCCUUUGAUACUGGUAGUCUCGAGUCCGGAAGAGGUGAGUGGAAUUCCGAGUGUAGAGGUGAAAUUCGUAGAUAUUCGGAAGAACACCAGUGGCGAAGGCGGCUCACUGGACUGGUAUUGACGCUGAGGUGCGAAAGCGUGGGGAGCAAACAGG
rnacentral:rRNA from 1 species